GGCGGACGGGUGAGUAACGCGUGGGUAACCUGCCUUAUACUGGGGGAGUAACAGCCAGAAAUGACUGCUAAUACCGCAUAAGCGCACGGAACCGCAUGGUUCGGUGUGAAAAACUACCGGUGGUAUAAGAUGGACCCGCGUUGGAUUAGCUAGUUGGUAGGGCAGCGGCCUACCAAGGCGACGAUCCAUAGCCGGCCUGAGAGGGUGAACGGCCACAUUGGGACUGAGACACGGCCCAGACUCCUACGGGAGGCAGCAUG
rnacentral:rRNA from 1 species